rnacentral:tRNA from 1 species
GCCGAUGUAGCUCAGUGGUAGAGUACUUCCUUGGUAAGGAAGAGGUCAUGGGUUCAAGUCCCAUCAUUGGCUCGA